GCUUGCUUCUCUUGAGAGCGGCGGACGGGUGAGUAAUGCCUAGGAAUCUGCCUGGUAGUGGGGGAUAACGUCCGGAAACGGACGCUAAUACCGCAUACGUCCUACGGGAGAAAGCAGGGGACCUUCGGGCCUUGCGCUAUCAGAUGAGCCUAGGUCGGAUUAGCUAGUUGGUGGGGUAAUGGCUCACCAAGGCGACGAUCCGUAACUGGUCUGAGAGGAUGAUCAGUCACACUGGAACUGAGACACGGUCCAGACUCCUACGGGAGGCAGCAGUGGGGAAUAUUGGACAAUGGGCGAAAGCCUGAUCCAGCCAUGCCGCGUGUGUGAAGAAGGUCUUCGGAUUGUAAAGCACUUUAAGUUGGGAGGAAGGGCAGUAAAUUAAUACUUUGCUGUUUUGACGUUACCGACAGAAUAAGCACCGGCUAACUCUGUGCCAGCAGCCGCGGUAAUACAGAGGGUGCAAGCGUUAAUCGGAAUUACUGGGCGUAAAGCGCGCGUAGGUGGUUCGUUAAGUUGGAUGUGAAAUCCCCGGGCUCAACCUGGGAACUGCAUUCAAAACUGACGAGCUAGAGUAUGGUAGAGGGUGGUGGAAUUUCCUGUGUAGCGGUGAAAUGCGUAGAUAUAGGAAGGAACACCAGUGGCGAAGGCGACCACCUGGACUGAUACUGACACUGAGGUGCGAAAGCGUG
rnacentral:rRNA from 1 species